UACGGGGGGAGCAAGCGUUGUUCGGAUUUACUGGGCGUAAAGGGCGCGUAGGCGGUCAGCACAAGUCAGUUGUGAAAUCUCCGAGCUUAACUCGGAAAGGUCAACUGAUACUGUGCGACUAGAGUGCGGAAGGGGCAACUGGAAUUCUUGGUGUAGCGGUGAAAUGCGUAGAUAUCGGAAGGAACACCAGUGGCGAAAGCGGCUUCCUGGUCCAGCAUCGACGUUCAGGCACGAAAGCGUGGGGAGCAAACAGG
rnacentral:rRNA from 1 species